GGGCGGGGGCACGGGGGGACUCCUACGGGAGGCAGCAGCAGGGAAUAUUGCACAAUGGGCGAAAGCCUGAUGCAGCAACGCCGCGUGAGGGAUGAAGGUCUUCGGAUCGUAAACCUCUUUUCUGAGGGAAGAGCAAGGACGGUACCUCAGGAAUAAGCAACGGCUAACUACGUGCCAGCAGCCGCGGUAAUACGUAGGUUGCGAGCGUUAUCCGGAUUUACUGGGCGUAAAGCGCACCGAGGUGGCUUCUUAAGUCGGAUGUAAAAUCUCCUGGCUCAACUGGGAGGCGCCAUUCGAUACUGAGGAGCUUGAGUUCAGCAGGGGAAAGUGGAAUUCCCGGUGUAGUGGUGGAAUGCGUAGAGAUCGGGAGGAACACCAGUGGCGAAAGCGGCUUUCUGGGCUGCAACUGACACUCUAGUGCGAAAGCGUGGGGAGCAAACAGGAUUAGAUACCCUGGUAGUCCACGCCCUAAACGAUGGAUACUAGGUGUGGGCGGUUUCAAACCCGUCCGUGCCGAAGCCAACGCGUUAAGUAUCCCGCCUGGGGACUACGGCCGCAAGGUUAAAACUCAAAGGAAUUGACGG
rnacentral:rRNA from 1 species